AAUAAACUACAGUUAUAUUUAUAGAAAAAUUGGGUCCAACUGCCUCUACAGUCUUUUUUUAAAGACUGUAGAGGCAGUACGUUUGACCCAAUUUUUCUAUAAAUAUAGCUGUAGUGUAGUUUAUU